rnacentral:rRNA from 1 species
CUAAGAAUAUUCCGCAAUGGACGGAAGUCUGACGGAGCGACGCCGCGUGGAUGACGAAGGCCGAAAGGUUGUAAAGUUCUUUUGCUGGGGAAGAAUAACCGCAGGAGGGAAUGCCUGUGGGAUGACAAGAACCGGCGAAUAAGCCCCGGCCAACUACGUGCCAGCAGCCGCGGUAACACGUAGGGGGGCGAGCGUUGUUCGGAAUUACUGGGCGUAAAGGGCAUGUAGGCGGCUUGGAAAGCCUGGCGUGAAAGUCUGCAGCUUAACUGCAGGGGUGCGCUGGGAACUGCUGAGCUUGAGUGACGGAGAGGGAGCUGGAAUUCCUGGUGUAGGGGUGAAAUCUGUAGAUAUCAGGAAGAACACCGAUGGCGAAGGCAAGCUCCUGGCCGAUGACUGACGCUGAGGUGCGAAAGUGUGGGGAUCAAACAGGAUUAGAUACCCUGGUAGUCCACACAGUCAACGAUGUGCACUAGGUGCUGGGGCGGUAGCUUCGGUGCCGGAGCGAACGUGGUAAGUGCACCGCCUGGGGAGUAUGCUCGCAAGGGUGAAACUC